rnacentral:sRNA from 1 species
GAACCAAGGGGGGAAAGAAAAGGGAAAGGAAGAAAAAGAAAAUACACAAACAGGGUUCCUUUUCCUGCAAGGUAGAGUGUACCGACUACCUAGCCUCUAGGUCGGUAUUUUUCAUAUUCCCUCCUGGAGGGGCCAGAGAGAGGCACACCAGCAGGAGGACGCGUCCAAAUCCACGAUGGCCCUGUAACUUUCAGUUGCCAACCUGUAGGAAUCCUUUUCAUUUUCAUUUUCAUUUUUUUUUUUUUUUUUGAUUUAAUUUCUCAAGGCAGAGAGAGACCUAGCACUGCGUAUUGGGGGUAAAAAUAAAAACAAAAAAAAAGUGGACCGGGACUAAAAUCUCCCAGCAACCAGCCGGCUGGGCUGGGGGAGCCACGGAGUUCAACAAGGCUCAACAACCACCGCCAGGGACCCCCCGGCGAGGGGGCCGGUGAAAGCCUUCUACUAAAUCAACGAUACCUGCCAAAAAGGGGUGGCGGGGUAUAAGGUAUCCUUAAGGUACGGUAACUCCCGCGUAUGCUGGGCUACGUGCC